rnacentral:rRNA from 1 species
GAUGAACGCUGGCGGCGUGCCUAAUACAUGCAAGUCGAGCGAAUGGAUUAAGAGCUUGCUCUUAUGAAGUUAGCGGCGGACGGGUGAGUAACACGUGGGUAACCUGCCCAUAAGACUGGGAUAACUCCGGGAAACCGGGGCUAAUACCGGAUAACAUUUUGAACCGCAUGGUUCGAAAUUGAAAGGCGGCUUCGGCUGUCACUUAUGGAUGGACCCGCGUCGCAUUAGCUAGUUGGUGAGGUAACGGCUCACCAAGGCAACGAUGCGUAGCCGACCUGAGAGGGUGAUCGGCCACACUGGGACUUAGACACGGGCCAGACUCCUACGGGAGGCAGCAGUAGGGAAUCUUCCGCAAUGGACGAAAGUCUGACGGAGCAACGCCGCGUGAGUGAUGAAGGCUUUCGGGUCGUAAAACUCUGUUGUUAGGGAGGAACAAGUGCUAGUUGAAUAAGCUGGCACCUUGACGGUACCUAACCAGAAAGCCACGGCUAACUACGUGCCAGCCACCGCAGUAA